GCUUUGCUUUCAGCAAAGUGGUUUCGGGAAUGUGAACACAUGAUUUGCGCCAUCAAUCACAGCAUCCGUCUAUCAACCCAACAUUCUCAUUGCAGACGGCCUCGAAAACCUGCGUCUUCAAAGGAAGAUGAACGGCGGUCAUUACAUGCCAAGUAGCUCUGGCUCUGUUACACUCAGGUUGGAGAAAGAGCGGGUCCCGCUCAUGAUCUACAAAGAUGGACAUUCCUACAUCGCACAUUCUAUUUUGAGAAAAAACAUAUCAGAUGAAAACUGACAAGAACUCAGACCUGAACACACCUGAAGUGGAUCUCAAUGCCCAUUGCUGCAGUUCUUAUAAUGACCUGAUUGGAUCCUGAUGGUAAUCAUUUUCAAGGCUUGGUAAAGCUACCGUGAAUCACUGGGCACAUCCAACAGUGCACUCCUCACAGAGGUGGACAAGGAACACAGCUGAAGAUGAGACCCAAGCAACUGCAGAAGAUGAAGAACUCUCCAAGAUGCUGGGAGGGAGAAGCUGAGAUUCUGCAGUUUCUCUGCUCCCUGGAUGGGGCACACAGGCUUCUAACUGGCUGGACGAGGAUCUUAUUUUUCUUAUAUUGUCUGAUUAAUCUUUCAAUUACCUGUCAGUGUUCUAAGAAAUUUCUUACAAAAGGUAGAUUUUCAAAUUGAAGAGAGUACUUCAUUGUCAGAAAAAAAAAAUAUCUGGCAUCUCUCCUGUGCCCCAUGCUAGGGCCCCUGGGAUAAUUCUUUAUUCUGUGUAUUCAUGCUCAGUAGUUUUAUAUGUGCUUAUUUAGUUUAAAAAAUAUGCCUAUUUCCAUAAAUAAAGGAUGUCAUACUUAAUAAUGUAAUAUAGUGAUCAUCUUGCAAAUUUAUGGAGAUAUGUAUGACUGUGGCUUCCAAGUACAAUGUGUGUAGCAUCUUUCUUGUCUUUUAUGGAAUUGUUCCUUGUAAGCCAGGUGACAGAUGAAGAGCUAGCAAACACAGUGCGAAUCAGAACUUCAAGCUUAUUAUGUCUUGAGAGCUGAAGUCAUCUCAGUAAGUUAUGAGCGGAACUAGAAAAAAAACACCCUGAAUAUAGUUAUGAUAUGGACAUGUUAUUGGUAAAUAACCAUAAAGAAUAGAAUUAAGGAUAGUAGUUCAUCAAAAUUUCUAACAGUACUCAAAAUACUGCUGAGUCUCAGGCACACAGCAUCACUUGAGCAGUAGGGGCAAGUGCUGAGCUCACUCAUGUGUAUCUCUCUCCCUAGUCUUUGUUCUGCAUCAAUCAUUAGAUUUUGACAAUGAUGUGAAAGGUGGUGAUUUAUGAACAAGUACAUUAUCUUUACAUAUGUCUAUUGACUGGCUGUUUAAGUACAGUUUUGAGCUCUACUGCCUCACUUGACAGAAAGAGCGAAGUAUAUAGUUUUUAAAAAUGGUAUAGAGACACAAAGAAAAG